rnacentral:misc_RNA from 1 species
GGAUGUGCUGCUCUCACAUAAAGCAUCCUUCUUCAAGUGAUUAACUUUUUUUAUAAAAGAAGAAAUUCCAGAUAAAAGAGAAAGAAGAAAUUCAUAAAAAUGGGAUAUUUAGUUAUACUCCCGUAAACAAUUUGAGGAAGCAAAGAAAAAACAAGUCAACAAGGUUUAGCACUCCAAUCUUGUUGGAGGUCAGUUGUUUGAAUACACCAUGAGUAAAAGCCCAUGACAAACACAAAAACAAAACAAUUUAAUCUCGCAAUAACUGUUUAGAUUUUAGAUAAACUUGAUUCUUAAAAUCAUAAUAUCCCUUUCCAACCUCUAGACUCCUUC